AGGGAGGGGAGGCAGGAGGUUUUUGAUUCUGCAGACGCUGCUGCCAGUGACUGUCAUACAGUGACAGACACAGCAGCAGCAGGGGGGACAGGAGUCACAGGACGGCGCAGCAGUGAAGGGAUUCAGAGCAGGGAAAGCGCCUCUCUGUCCCAGCGCCUCCCUGCACUGCAUCCCUUCGCUGAGCGGGUGGCGCCGGACCUGCCUGCCAGGGCCGGCUCCAGGCAUGUUCCAAUAGAGCGGCCGCGCAGGGCGCCACCCUUAAUGGGCGCCGCAUGCUUGUGCCGCCAUAUUGGAACCUGGCUGGAGCAGUGGAGCCUGGAGAGCAUCUGUGACCGGCUGCAGCACACAGCGAUCCGUCCAUGAUUAAUCCAUUCCCGCCCCGGCCCGCCCGCCCGCCUGCUAAUAGUGGUAGUAGCCUGCCUAGCGACAACAGCAGUGGACGGCCAGCGGCCGCGGCUGACUGUUUGUGGUGUGCCUGCUGCCCCGUACCGAUGAUGAGUCAUCGAGGGGGAGUGCUGUGGGCGGGCCGCGGACUAAAUCUAAACUACCCAGGCUGUGCGCGCUGACGCUGUACGGCGGCAGCGGCUCCGGCGUCUGACGUCAGCGGAACCGCACAGCGCACAUGGCGCGCAGAGCCGAUCAGAGUCAGACCUUAGCUUAGUCUGCGCCACACCGUGGACCUUACUGCCUCCGGGACUCUGCAGAUUGUGUGGCCAGUGGACGAGAUCCAGCACAAGGAGUGCAGCCUGACAUCAGCAUGAGCCACGCCUUGCAGCUACGGACGAAGGAGCCAUUUUGUCUUACACCGAUAAUGCGGUAUCGAGGCCUGAGCAAUUCUGUGGGGAGCAUGACAACAUAGAGGAACAAACAAACAAUUUACCAAGCGGCUACAGAAAGUGUACGCCAAGACAAAGAAACAAAGACCAGAUAAUAUCUCAAGAAGUGAUAUCUGACACAGGUGAAGCAAGGGACGGAUGAGGCCGACGUGGCCUGCGUAGAGCUACAGUCAGCGGACUACAGCCUUAAAGCCAGUAAAAAGCAAAGUGGACCUUGGUGUACUUUAUCACAGGUGGAGUAUGGCAGCUAAAGACCGC